AGUUUUGGCGGCUCGGAUGGGAGGCCCGUGAGGGCCUGCCGGUUUCCGCAAGGAUGGCCCGGUCUGCUAACCCGUUCGAGUCGCCGCCUCC
rnacentral:antisense_RNA from 2 species